rnacentral:rRNA from 1 species
GAUGAACGCUGGCGGCGUGCCUAAUACAUGCAAGUCGAGCGAACAGACGAGGAGCUUGCUCCUCUGACGUUAGCGGCGGACGGGUGAGUAACACGUGGAUAACCUACCUAUAAGACUGGGAUAACUUCGGGAAACCGGAGCUAAUACCGGAUAAUAUAUUGAACCGCAUGGUUCAAUAGUGAAAGACGGUUUUGCUGUCACUUAUAGAUGGAUCCGCGCCGCAUUAGCUAGUUGGUAAGGUAACGGCUUACCAAGGCACCGAUGCGUAGCCGACCUGAGAGUGUGAUCGGCCACACUGGAACUGAGACACGGUCCAGACUCCUACGGGAGGCAGCAGUAGGGAAUCUUCCGCAAUGAGCGAAAGCCUGACGGAGCAACGCCGCGUGAGUGAUGAAGGUCUUCGGAUCGUAAAACUCUGUUAUUAGGGAAGAACAAAUGUGUAAGUAACUAUGCACGUCUUGACGGUACCUAAUCAGAAAGCCACGGCUAACUACGUG